UUGAAAUAAAAUUUUCAUUUUAUUUAGAAUAAAAAUGAAAGGGAAGGUUGAAAAGCCUUCCUCAACUCAUGAGCAACAAUACAAAGAGUUAAUCAGAAAGGAAACAUAAAAAAAUGGAACAAAUAAAAAACGGAAACUUCAAGACACAAUUAAAUCAAACAAUGUGGGGAAGAAGGCUAUUUAAGGGCUGCAAAUGUAUUCCGUAGCUACUUCUCUUCCACAUUUAUUGAGUAAGAGGCUCAAUGAAAUAGGAAGGUCGAUGGGAAUGCCCAACACAUUAGCUCUGACAGCAGUGCAAAGGCAAACUGUAGCUUCAAGAUCGACCAAUCCUUCAAUCACGCUGCAACAUGGUUCUGUAGGUACGUUUCCGAGAUUAACAUCCACCAAACCCAACAGGCCAACGCAUACACCGAGGUUUAGGGGAUUGCAUGUACCGGGAUGACCAUGAGUGAUUCUGCCAUUAUGGUACACAUCUCCGGGAUGAAUAUAAACAGUGUUUUCGACAUUGUGAGAGCUUACAAAAGCAAAGAAAAGAAGGUUAAGAGAAAGAACAAGAGCAGUUGAUGCUUUAACAUUAGAAGCCAUUUCCCAAAAGAAAAUGAUUUGAAGUGAUUGAUAAAAUGAGUUUUUUGUUGGUGAGAAAUUAAGCUGAAACUGCCGAUGAAGGUGGCAAAGGGAGCAAAGGGUUUUUAUAGCUGGAAUGUAUGAACUUUGAAGCCUUUUUAGAACUAGAAAAUGGGAGGCACUAAGUCGGAUUAAUUGGAGAAUCUUGGAUCUUGGAGUAUCUGUUUGGCUGGCAACUAUAUAUAUAAAAUUCUCCCACGUCUAUGAUGGAUGAUAUCUUUAUCACAAGGCAUCUUUAAUCUAUUUAAUUAGUAACAUGAGUACAACGCUGUUAAUAUAUGUAUAUAUAUAUUCCAUUUGCAGACAUGCAUGGACUAAUUAAGGUUUCUGUCAUAAAUAUUUAUAUGUCAAAAUCUUUGACCUGCUCAACGGGAGUAAUGGUGUGAAAAAAUUUCGGUUUUGCAGCAUCAAAUGUUACCGAUAUGGUUUAGAGUGGCGCAUUGAAGGUUUUAAUUCGGAGUUAAUGUUUAAAGAUUGGUGUUCGAUUGAAGAUAAAAUUGAUCGUGGUUGCUGCACACUUUCUUCAAGUGAUUUGAAAUUAGGACGUACAGAGUUGGUAAUGUCUCUUUUUCGAAAACGGAUAAGCACGGUAACAUGAUGGCUUUUGCACUGGCGGUUACAGGGUUGAAAAGGCUUGGUAUGUUUAAGGAAUCGUAGUGAUUUUUGGAGUGUUGUAGUUGUGUUUCUUCAGGCGAGUUGGUAAGCUGUUAUGUGGAGUUAUCAGGUUUUCUUGUGUUAGUUUUUUGUUUUUGUUUUGAGUUUUGUUUAACAGAUGGGGAUUUUGGGGUUCUGGUGGGUGAUUGUUUGUUGUUACAAGUUUGUGGUUGGUUUUGGUACUUGGGUAAGGGUCUUUUUUGAUGAGGGAAUGUUUGCAUAUUGUAACAUGGUUGCAUUUCUUGCAAAUGCUGAAAUUUGUAAUUUCUUGAUUGAGCAAAAAAAAAAAAAAUUUGGUCGCCACUCCACUACUACUUAAUUUCUUUUUUGGUUUAGGGUUUAGGGUUUAGGGUUUAGGGUUUAGGGUUUAGGGUAAGUGCACGUACUGAUCAAGUAAUAAAAUGAUAAGAUGAUACCGUUCCUAUGAGGACCAAAUUCUAAGCUGCUAAAUACUAAUUAACCAAUUUUCUCUAAUCUGGAUCAAGAAAAGAAAUUCUAAUUACUACUAAAGUUAAACUAAAGGAAUUAAAGAGAUUUAACUAAACUACAAAAAAAAAAUGAAAAUUACUAAGUUUCUCAAUCAAUUCUGAAAGAUCUUGGAACUCUAAUUUACCUAAUUCAGUUAAUCAAUUAUCUCUCAUUCAAUUGUUCAGUCUACAUAAUUAUUAACCUAUGAUUAGGAGGCAUUAACUAGACCCUCCCAGUAUCGAGCUAAGUUAAUCCCCCAUCACCACCAGUUAUACUCCGAUGCUAGGCAAAUCGAGCAAAGGCACUACGAAAAAACUUAUUAGGUUGAUUUGUGCAUUAGGUAUAUUCCUAUCCUAGCUAUAAAUUAACUCAUUCGUCAGCACUACUAAAGUUAACCCUAAUCUAUUUAGUCUAGAUCUAAACCUUAAUUUUUCUCUUCUACGACAAAUCAAGAUCACCAAAUUAAUACAACUUGGUGGACAGAGAAACAGAUUAAAUAAGUUUAAAGCUGAAUAAAUAAUUAACAGUGAUUGAAACAACUGAAGACAAAAUAUUUAAUUAACUAAAAAGUAUGAUUCAUCAUCAUUCCAAGAAAAUAGAUUUUAGUUCUUGUUGCGUUGAGAAAACAUCACAAGAAAAAACUCAUAACAAACUCGCUUUGAGAAAAAAGGUGAAAGGAAAAUAAUCUAGAGAUAAAAAUGAUCGUCGAACUAAAGGCAAGCGCUCCAGAUCUCUUUUUCUUCUCGUCUUUUCAAGGUUGACGCCCCCCUUGGUGUCAGAGAAUUGUUCCUUAGCUUUUUUUUUCACUCAUUUUCCUCUCCUUUUCCGCUUAAUCACAUCACCCUCUAUUUUUAGGGUAUUAAUUGCUUGGCUCCACCAGACAUAGAAUUUGUAGUGGAGUAUCUGAAAUUCUUAAUUGAAGAUUGUGUUCCACCACACUGAAUCAAGUUUGGUGGAGCAAAUGAUUUCUCUUCACUAUUUUUUACCCUGUGUUUCGGGCCCUCCAUUCUUCAUCUGAAACCUACAAUAUAGAGAGGAAGAUAAUACAUGAAUCUAAACUAACUCUGGAAAUGAUAAAACUCAAAUAAAAUAUAAUUAAUCAGAAAAACCAUAAAAUGUACUAAAAUUUAACCUAAAUGCUCAAUUUACCUCCUAAAAUACUAUAAAAAUUAUACUAAAAUAACUCUAAAGAUGAGAGUUAUCAUGGUCACCCAACUACAAAAAGUUACAAAAUGAUCACACAACUAUUUGACAUUUUCAUUUUUUGGUCACCGAAUUAUUCGAAUUUUUCUUUUUCGGUCAUCAGCUGUUAAAUUACUAACGAAAAGAUAACUUGACAUAUUUUACAGUUGGCAUAAUAGCAACUUUAACCCUGAACAUUUCUACAUUGUGCCAAUAUAGACUUGAUCCUAAAAAUCUUAACCUUCAACAUUUAAACAUUGUGUAAUUAGGUUUCUCUCUCUCUUGCAAUUUUACUUUUAUUUGUGACAUUGAGGGUUAAUUUUGAAAGAAAAAAAGAUGAAAAUUAUAAUCUUGGAUUUUCGAGUGUUUUUGUUAUAUUUCUGAACAAAUUUAGUUGAUGGAUUUAUAUAUAUAUUUUUUAGCUUUUUAGGUAAAAGGGUCACAAAGAAUUGAAAAAUUGAAAAAGAAGAAGAAGACCAAAUUACACAAUGUGAGAACAUUGAGGGUUAAAUUUUUAGAAUCAGGACUAAUUUGGCACGGUAUAUAAAGGUUGAGAUUUAAAGUUUCUUUUAUGUCAAUUUUAUAAUCCGCUUCAUCAUCCUCCCAUUAGCCAUUUAAUGGCUGGUGACCAUAAAAGAAAAAGUGUAACAUUUGAACGACCAUUUUUUAAGUUUUAAUAGUUAGGUGAAAAAAGAAAAAAAUGAGAAACUUAUCUAUGUGACUACAAGUGUAUUUACCAUAUUUUUAGGUUUUCUUUCCCACUGCUCAACACAUGCACUUUUCCUUCUUUAAUUGAUUACUUAAAUAGGAACCCACAUUACACACCAACUCAGUAAAACACUUGAAAUAAGUAUACAUAUUUAAUGUGGCUGAUCUCUAAAUAAAUGAUUAAAACUCAAAAUUGUACAUGAAAUUUGAUUCAAAGUGCACUUUGAUACAUCGACUUUAAUUUGGUGCAAUUAUGCACAUGAAAAUUUAAUCGUGGUUCAAAUGUAUUCUUGAAACUUUGAUUUUAAUUCAACUAUAUAUAUUUAAAGAAAUAAAUACAUCGAUUUAUUUUAUUUUACAUCACAUAAAUAUAAAUAUUUGUGUAUGCAACAUGUACAUAUAAAAUGGUGUUACAUUGCUAAUGGUGCUAGUGAUUUAUAAAAAUUGAAUCAAAUCAAAUUACACAAAAUCAAAGUUUAUGUAUAACAUUGCACAUUAGAAUAGAGUUUCAAGUAAAAUUUGUAUACACGAGUAUUUAGGAAAAAAAUGAAAUAUAAAAAUACACAAUCAAUAUUUUUACACAAACUAGUACGGUUUUCACUCUUCGCGUUGGAUUGAUUAAUUGUUUGUACCAAAUUUUAAAAUAAAAAUUGGAAAGUUAAAAUAUGCUCAGGUAUCUGUAUGCUUAUUUUGAGGAAUCUAGUCUCUGUAUUUUAUGGAUUUAGAAAUUCAAGUCCAACAGUCACGGCAAUUAAAAUUCUUCUAUUAAAUUCACUGGUUUGACACUUUGAAAUAAAAAAUCCACUUGGCAGUCAUAUAACAUUAAAAAUAAUGUUGAAAAUAUUAAUUAAGAGUUUUCCCCCUUAAAACACCCAUUCAAACUCAUUAUGAUAAAAUAGAAUUUCUUGUUGAAAUAAAAUUUUCAUUUUAUUUAGAAUAAAAAUGAAAGGGAAGGUUGAAAAGCCUUCCUCAACUCAUGAGCAACAAUACAAAGAGUUAAUCAGAAAGGAAACAUAAAAAAAUGGAACAAAUAAAAAACGGAAACUUCAAGACACAAUUAAAUCAAACAAUGUGGGGAAGAAGGCUAUUUAAGGGCUGCAAAUGUAUUCCGUAGCUACUUCUCUUCCACAUUUAUUGAGUAAGAGGCUCAAUGAAAUAGGAAGGUCGAUGGGAAUGCCCAACACAUUAGCUCUGACAGCAGUGCAAAGGCAAACUGUAGCUUCAAGAUCGACCAAUCCUUCAAUCACGCUGCAACAUGGUUCUGUAGGUACGUUUCCGAGAUUAACAUCCACCAAACCCAACAGGCCAACGCAUACACCGAGGUUUAGGGGAUUGCAUGUACCGGGAUGACCAUGAGUGAUUCUGCCAUUAUGGUACACAUCUCCGGGAUGAAUAUAAACAGUGUUUUCGACAUUGUGAGAGCUUACAAAAGCAAAGAAAAGAAGGUUAAGAGAAAGAACAAGAGCAGUUGAUGCUUUAACAUUAGAAGCCAUUUCCCAAAAGAAAAUGAUUUGAAGUGAUUGAUAAAAUGAGUUUUUUGUUGGUGAGAAAUUAAGCUGAAACUGCCGAUGAAGGUGGCAAAGGGAGCAAAGGGUUUUUAUAGCUGGAAUGUAUGAACUUUGAAGCCUUUUUAGAACUAGAAAAUGGGAGGCACUAAGUCGGAUUAAUUGGAGAAUCUUGGAUCUUGGAGUAUCUGUUUAGGCUGGCAACUAUAUAUAUAAAAUUCUCCCACGUCUAUGAUGGAUGAUAUCUUUAUCACAAGGCAUCUUUAAUCUAUUUAAUUAGUAACAUGAGUACAACGCUGUUAAUAUAUGUAUAUAUAUAUUCCAUUUGCAGACAUGCAUGGACUAAUUAAGGUUUCUGUCAUAAAUAUUUAUAUGUCAAAAUCUUUGACCUGCUCAACGGGAGUAAUGGUGUGAAAAAAUUUCGGUUUUGCAGCAUCAAAUGUUACCGAUAUGGUUUAGAGUGGCGCAUUGAAGGUUUUAAUUCGGAGUUAAUGUUUAAAGAUUGGUGUUCGAUUGAAGAUAAAAUUGAUCGUGGUUGCUGCACACUUUCUUCAAGUGAUUUGAAAUUAGGACGUACAGAGUUGGUAAUGUCUCUUUUUCGAAAACGGAUAAGCACGGUAACAUGAUGGCUUUUGCACUGGCGGUUACAGGGUUGAAAAGGCUUGGUAUGUUUAAGGAAUCGUAGUGAUUUUUGGAGUGUUGUAGUUGUGUUUCUUCAGGCGAGUUGGUAAGCUGUUAUGUGGAGUUAUCAGGUUUUCUUGUGUUAGUUUUUUGUUUUUGUUUUGAGUUUUGUUUAACAGAUGGGGAUUUUGGGGUUCUGGUGGGUGAUUGUUUGUUGUUACAAGUUUGUGGUUGGUUUUGGUACUUGGGUAAGGGUCUUUUUUGAUGAGGGAAUGUUUGCAUAUUGUAACAUGGUUGCAUUUCUUGCAAAUGCUGAAAUUUGUAAUUUCUUGAUUGAGCAAAAAAAAAAAAAAUUUGGUCGCCACUCCACUACUACUUAAUUUCUUUUUGGUUUAGGGUUUAGGGUUUAGGGUUUAGGUUAGGUUUAGGGUAAGUGCACGUACUGAUCAAGUAAUAAAAUGAUAAGAUGAUACCGUUCCUAUGAGGACCAAAUUCUAAGCUGCUAAAUACUAAUUAACCAAUUUUCUCUAAUCUGGAUCAAGAAAAGAAAUUCUAAUUACUACUAAAGUUAAACUAAAGGAAUUAAAGAGAUUUAACUAAACUACAAAAAAAAAUGAAAAUUACUAAGUUUCUCAAUCAAUUCUGAAAGAUCUUGGAACUCUAAUUUACCUAAUUCAGUUAAUCAAUUAUCUUUCAUUCAAUUGUUCAGUCUACAUAAUUAUUAACCUAUGAUUAGGAGGCAUUAACUAGACCCUCCCAAUAUCGAGCUAAGUUAAUCCCCCAUCACCACCAGUUAUACUCCGAUGCUAGGCAAAUCGAGCAAAGGCACUACGAAAAAACUUAUUAGGUUGAUUUGUGCAUUAGGUAUAUUCCUAUCCUAGCUAUAAAUUAACUCAUUCGUCAGCACUACUAAAGUUAACCCUAAUCUAUUUAGUCUAGAUCUAAACCUUAAUUUUUCUCUUCUACGACAAAUCAAGAUCACCAAAUUAAUACAACUUGGUGGAUAGAGAAACAGAUUAAAUAAGUUUAAAGCUGAAUAAAUAAUUAACAGUGAUUGAAACAACUGAAGACAAAAUAUUUAAUUAACUAAAAAGUAUGAUUCAUCAUCAUUCCAAGAAAAUAGAUUUUAGCUCUUGUUGCGUUGAGAAAACAUCACAAGAAAAAACUCAUAACAAACUCGCUUUGAGAAAAAAGGUAAAUGGAAAAUAAUCUAGAGAUAAAAAUGAUCGUCGAACUAAAGGCAAGCGCUCCAGAUCUCUUUUUCUUCUCGUCUUUUCAAGGUUGACGCCCCCCUUGGUGUCAGAGAAUUUUUCCUUAGCUUUUUUUUUCACUCAUUUUCCUCUCCUUUUCCGCUUAAUCACAUCACCCUCUAUUUUUAGGGUAUUAAUUGCUUGGCUCCACCAGACAUAGAAUUCGUAGUGGAGUAUCUGAAAUUCUUAAUUGAAGAUUGUGUUCCACCACACUGAAUCAAGUUUGGUGGAGCAAAUGAUUUCUCUUCACUAUUUUUUACCCUGUGUUUCGGGCCCUCCAUUCUUCAUCUGAAACCUACAAUAUAGAGAGGAAGAUAACACAUGAAUCCAAACUAACUCUGGAAAUGAUAAAACUCAAAUAAAAUAUAAUUAAUCAGAAAAACUAUAAAAUGUAAUAAAAUUUAACCUAAAUGCUCAAUUUACCUCCUAAAAUACUAUAAAAAUUAUACUAAAAUAACUCUAAAGAUGAGAGUUAUCAUGGUCACCCAACUACAAAAAGUUACAAAAUGAUCACCCAACUAUUUGACAUUUUCUUUUUUGGUCACCGAAUUAUUCGAAUUUUUCUUUUUCGGUCAUCAGCUGUUAAAUUACUAACGAAAAGAUAACUUGACAUCUUUUACAGUUGGCAUAAUAGCAACUUUAACCCUGAACAUUUCUACAUUGUGCCAAUAUAGACUUGAUCCUAAAAAUCUUAACCUUCAACAUUUAAACAUUGUGUAAUUAGGUUUCUCUCUCUCUUGCAAUUUUACUUUUAUUUGUGACAUUGAGGGUUAAUUUUGAAAGAAAAAAAUAUGAAAAUUAUAAUCUUGGAUUUUCGAGUGUUUUUGUUAUAUUUCCGAACAAAUUUAGUUGAUGGAUUUAUAUAUAUAUAUUUUAGCUUUUUAGGUAAAUGGGUCACAAAGAAUUGAAAAAUUGAAAAAGAAGAAGAAGACCAAAUUACACAAUGUGAGAACAUUGAGGGUUAAAUUUUAGAAUCAGGACUAAUUUGGCACGGUGUAUAAAGGUUGAGAUUUAAAGUUUCUUUUAUGUCAAUUUUAUAAUCCGCUACAUCAUCCUCCCAUUAGCCAUUUAAUGGCUGGUGACCAUAAAAGAAAAAGUCUAACAUUUGAACGACCAUUUUUUAAGUUUUAAUAGUUAGGUGAAAAAAGAAAAAAAUGAGAAACUUAUCUAUGUGACUACAAGUGUAUUUACCAUAUUUUUAGGUUUUCUUUCCCACUGCUCAACACAUGCACUUUUCCUUCUUUAAUUGAUUACUUAAAUAGGAACCCACAUUACAAACCAACUCAGUAAAACACUUGAAAUAAGUAUACAUAUUUAAUGUGGAUGAUCUCUAAAUAAAUGAUUAAAACUCAAAAUUGUACAUGAAAUUUGAUUCAAAGUGCACUUUGAUACAUCGACUUUAAUUUGGUGCAAUUAUGCACAUGAAAAUUUAAUCGUGGUUCAAAUGUAUUCUUGAAACUUUGAUUUUAAUUCAACUAUAUAUAUUUAAAGAAAUAAAUACAUCGAUUUAUUUUAUUUUACAUCACAUAAAUAUAAAUAUUUGUGUAUGCAACAUGUACAUAUAAAAUGGUGUUACAUUGCUAAUGGUGCUAGUGAUUUAUAAAAAUUGAAUCAAAUCAAAUUACACAAAAUCAAAGUUUAUGUAUAACAUUGCACAUUAGAAUAGAGUUUCAAGUAAAAUUUGUAUACAUGAGUAUUUAGGAAAAAAAAUGAAAUAUAAAAAUACGCAAUCAAUAUUUUUACACAAACUAGUACGGUUUUCACUCUUCGCGUUGGAUUGAUUAAUUGUUUGUACCAAAUUUUAAAAUAAAAAUUGGAAAGUUAAAAUAUGCUCAAGUAUCUGUACGCUUAUUUUGAGGAAUCUAGUCUCUGUAUUUUAUGGAUUUAGAAAUUCAAGUCCAACAGUCACGGCAAUUAAAAUUCUUCUAUUAAAUUCACUGGUUUGACACUUUGAAAUAAAAAAUCCACUUGGCAGUCAUAUAACAUUAAAAAUAAUGUUGAAAAUAUUAAUUAAGAGUUUUCCCCCUUAAAACACCCAUUCAAACUCAUUAUGAUAAAAUAGAAUUUCUUGUUGAAAUAAAAUUUUCAUUUUAUUUAGAAUAAAAAUGAAAGGGAAGGUUGAAAAGCCUUCCUCAACUCAUGAGCAACAAUACAAAGAGUUAAUCAGAAAGGAAACAUAAAAAAAAUGGAACAAAUAAAAAACGGAAACUUCAAGACACAAUUAAAUCAAACAAUGUGGGGAAGAAGGCUAUUUAAGGGCUGCAAAUGUAUUCCGUAGCUACUUCUCUUCCACAUUUAUUGAGUAAGAAGCUCAAUGAAAUAGGAAGGUCGAUGGGAAUGCCCAACACAUUGGCUCUGACAGCAGUGCAAAGGCAAACUGCAGCUUCAAGAUCGACCAAUCCUUCAAUCACGCUGCAACAUGGUUCUGUAGGUACGUUUCCGAGAUUAACAUCCACCAAACCCAACAAGCCAACGCAUACACCGAGAUUUAGGGGAUUGCAUGUACCGGGAUGACCAUGAGUGAUUCUGCCAUUAUGGUACACAUCUCCGGGAUGAAUAUAAACGGGGUUUUCGACAUUGUGAGAGCUUACAAAAGCAAAGAAAAGAAGGUUAAGAGAAAGAACAAGAGCAGUUGAUGCUUUAACAUUAGAAGCCAUUUCCCAAAAGAAAAUGAUUUGAAGUGAUUGAUAAAAUGAGUUUUUUGUUGGUGAGAAAUUAAGCUGAAACUGCCGAUGAAGGUGGCAAAG
rnacentral:lncRNA from 1 species